AUACGUAGGUGACAAGCGUUAUCCGGAUUUACUGGGCGUAAAGGGCGUGUAGGCGGACUUGCAAGUCAGAAGUGAAAUUCCUGAGCUCAACUCGGGCGCUGCUUCUGAAACUGCAGGACUUGAGUGCUGGAGGGGAUAGCGGAAUUCCUAGUGGAGCGGUAAAAUGCACGGAUAUUAGGAAGAACACCGGUGACGAAGGCGGCUAUCUGGACAGAAACUGACGCUGAGGCGCGAAAGCAUGUGGAGCAAACAGGAUUGAAUACCCUGAUAGUCCACGCCGUAAACGAUGAAUACUAGGUGUAGGUGGUAUCGACUCCCUCUGUGCCGCAGUUAACACAAUAAGUAUUCCGCCUGGGGAGUACGGCCGCAAGGUUGAAACUCAAAGGAAUUGACGGGG
rnacentral:rRNA from 1 species